AUUCCAGCUCCAGUAGCGUAUAUUAAUGUUGUUGCAGUUAAAAAGCUCGUAGUUGGAUUUCUGACUUGACGCGCCUGGCCCGCCUUGCAUUUCGCGGGUGAGUGCCGGAGCGCGUCGGUCAUCCUUCUAGAGAACGGCGCUACCCUUCACUGGGUCGGCGUCGCAAUCCAGAUCUUUUACUUUGAAAAAAUUAGAGUGUUCAAGGCAGGCUCGCGCUGUGAAUACAUUAGCAUGGAAUAAUAAUCUAGGACUUUGUUCCUAUUUUGUUGGUUUCUAGGAAUUAAGUAAUGAUUGAUAGGGAUAGUUGGGGGUGCUAGUAUUCAGCGGCCAGAGGUGAAAUUCUUGGAUUCGCUGAAGACUAACUUAUGCGAAAGCAUUCACCAAGGAUGUCUUCAUCA
rnacentral:rRNA from 1 species